rnacentral:lncRNA from 1 species
CCGGCCGGCCGCCUCCUCCGCCUCCCUCCCGCCUGCCCGGGUCGCCGGCCCCCGUGCCCCCACCCCCCCUCCGCCCUUCCCGCCGCCUGGGAGCUCGGCUCGCGGCUCCGGGCAGCCCGGGAGCCCAGCGUCUUGUUUGAUGUGGCCUCCCGCCCCCUCAGCCCUUCCCGCGUCCCGGAGGCCUGGCGCACGGUUCUCAGACACUUCAUUCCUUCCGGCCUCCCAGCUCCCCACUGAGAUAACGUUGUCAAUGAUUUCGCCAGAUCUCGUCCCGGAUGAGAUUCAGUGGUUCCUGACUCUGGGUGACCUUGGGCAAGCCCCCCUCUCUCUUUCAUUGUGGAACACACGCGCAGUGUCAGACACUGUGUUAAACCCUGGGAUUUCCACGGUGAGAGAUACAGUGGCGGCCUGCUAGAAGUUGACAGUAAACUGCGGGGGCAGACAGACGCUGAUUUUCUGAUUGAUGACUGGACAUUCCUUUAUUUUUCCUUUCUUUUCUGAGUUAGGUGGUGGCUUGAGAGAUCAGGAGGACAGAAACAAAAUAUGAAACCAUACUUGUAUGGAUAACAGUAUUGCUGGUCUACCUGGGUUUACAGCAGUGAGUAAGACCGUUAUUGCUCUCUGGAAGCUAACAGUCUAGAGAUACAUAUAAACGUGUACAGCUGACAUCUACGGAUGGCCCAGUAAAUUCCUCUGGGAAGUCGUAGGUUCAAGAGAGACGUAUGUCUGGAUAGAGGUAAAAUGCUAUGGAGUUUCAGGAGAAUUAAGUUACUUUUAAGUUGGGGUACCUUGGAAAACUUCCUGGAGGGAUUGGCCUGUGUACCUUGAAAAAUAGGUAGGAUUGGGGCAUUGGGAAUGUGCUUAGUCGUGGGCUGGAGAGGAUGCAGGUACCCAUGGUAUUAAAGGCCAAGAUCCUGGAACUUGAAGACUUUAUUCAGGGAACAUGGUCUGGAGCCUAGGGAAUGUGAGGGACUGGAAGAGGCAGCUUGAGGCCAUGUCACAAGCUCCUUAAACAUCUUGCUGAAGGACUUUGGACCUUAUCUUUAGACAGUGGAGAGCCAUGAAACAUUCUUGAGCAAAGAAGAGGCAUCAGGGUUUCCCUUUAGAAAGAUGGCUCUGGCAAAAGUGGGAGAGUGGAUUGCAGGGCUUGGAGGCAGAAAGGGCAGUUAGGCAGUUCAAGCCAGUGAAGAAGGUUCCUAGGAGGCAGGUGCAGACUGACUCCCAGAGGCAUCUGUCUACAUCCAGCUCCUCUGGACAUUGACCGCACGCUCUUGGGAACUGAGUUCAACUCAAACCUGCCUACCCUUUAAUGCAGUGUUCCCAACCCCCAACCAGGAACUCAGGAACUCAGAUUUAAUUCCUGAGUCUAACUAAGGAAUCAUGGCUCUGACCGUAUUAACCUAAGCCUCAUUUCCACCUUCCAGGAUAGUCCUCCAGUCUGCAACCAAACAUUUCCCUCAUCGAAGGCUUUGGUUUACUCACUGUUGCCCCUAAGGCUACUCUGAGAUUUUUUUUAAAAAAUGUUUUCUUACACUGCAGAGUGAGCUGUGCCCUGUCAUGUUCUGAAGAAAUGAUGAACAAUGCCUCCUUUGUUGACCUGCAACCUGGGCCAAAGGGGAAGGAAUUUUCUUUCUUAUUUUAAACAGAUGGAAAAGUGGUGAUGACAGAAAAUUGUCUGUUGCUUUUGGAAAACGUAGGGUUUUCCUGUGUGGUGAAAAUCCUCUUGGUGAAAGGUGAUGAGCCUAUGAAGUUACCCUCCUUUCUGCCAUGGCCCCAAUAAGCUUUGCAAGCUUCUUAAAAUGCUUCUACUGAGCGUCUGACUUUUUAAAAACUUCCCAAAUACACUGACCCAGAUUCUUCUGAGGAACUAAACCCUUCCCGGGGAAGCAUGUUAACCCUUUCCAGGUUCCCCCCAAAUCUUUCAGAACCAGUGCCUGCUCUGCUAGGCUCUGCCAGGCUCUGCCAUGACAUUGACUGCUGUCUGCUGGUCGGCCCUCAUUAACUACUGGGUUAUGCCACUCCCUGCCCAUUCUAAGAGACUUUUUCAUCUGAUUCUGUUCCCCACUCUUAUUUGGUGCCCUGAAGGUGCAUGGGGAAUGGAAUAUGGUCAAGUUAGGGUCUCACUGAAGGGGCUAAAGCAGCCUCGUGGGUCAAAUAGUUAAUCAGCAACUCGUUUAUUGCCACUUUGGGAGUGCUUGGACUGGUGGAAUGGGCAAGUAACUUUCACACACACGUUUUUAGAUAGGGGGACAGAGGCUCAAGUAACAAAAAAAAUUAUGAAUUUGUGUCUGGACCAAAAAUAAAUAAAUAAUAAAUAAAAAUAAAUUCCAGGAACUCUCUGGCUUUCCACUCUAACCAUUCAAGAAGAGUUUCUUGCAGAUGGGCUCACAGAUGACUUUUCAGUUUCCUUAUGCUAGGCAGUGAAAAUAGGACCAACGUUGUCCUCUCCCCACCCCUUCUCAAAUGGGACAGUAAGCUCCUAAACUCAGGAAGAAGCAUCUGCAUCUGGAAGAAUGCUCUUAGAUAGAUAGAAACAGCCUUUAUUUUUCAGUCAUCCUUUUCCCCCGACUCCCAAAGCAAAGAGAAAAUGGAGCCCAGUUCAUCAGUGGAGGUCACUUCUUUGAUCCCCCUGUGACACCAGCAUCGUUCUGAAUCGUUCUCACCGUGUCAUGCCCAAUACAUACAACCAGGGGCUCCCGCACUUGUCUCCACCCACAGCGUCCCCCCACCCCCGCCCCGGAAGGGCGACUUCUCUGUCUUACCGCAUCACCUGUUUGCUUUCAAACCAUAAAACAAAUAACUGCAUCUCUAGUGAAACUCCCCUUUGUCCCCUAGGUAUCAGAGUGGUUUGUGGGUUUGGUUUAAAGCUACAGAAAGGAGAGAGCAAGAGAAGAAGAAAAAAGGUAUUUUGCCUGAGGACUUGAAGCUUUUUUUUUUCCCUUUUCCUCCGCAUGACUGACUUUCUCACACUCAGAUUCCCUCCAGCCUGCCAGAGACGUGGUAGCUGCCCUGCCAAGAGCUAUCCUGGGAGGGCUAUUGAACGAGCUUUGAGUAAGUACACACACGGUGGAUUUUCUCCUCCCCUCGGUACCUGCUCUGCACCUGUACAGGGAGCAGUCCCACACAUAUCACCUGAUCACAGCCCUUUCAGGGACCGUGAGAAAAAUAAAGCCCAGGAUAGAAAAGACAUGUUUGUCAUCUCUCCAGGGCUGCAGCCAGCUUCCAGCAGUCCCAGUGCCCAGAAACAGCACAUUCCAGGCCGGCUGUGCAUGCAUGUUUGCUGGGGCGCGUGCCAGGUGGGGGUGCUGGGAAGGGGGGGGCAACUAGAGGUCACCUUUGUAAUGACCACCUUGCUGCCCCCGUUCUCUGGCAUGUGCUGACUGGUAGCUUGAGAACCCUCUACUAGAAUCAGUAUCAUAGUCUUUCUAGAUAGCAGUCUGUAUGUGCUGAUCGCAGAAUUCAUAACCAGGAUUUUUUUUUUUUUACCUAUAAAGCCCCUGAAAUGGAAUUUCAACGUGUGUCUGUAUGU